AUGUUGCGAUGCCAAAUUAGUUCUUGGUAAAUUUUAAUUUCACAUAGGUCUAAGUUUACGCCGAUUGCCACGGUCGAUUUGAGGGAAAAAAGUUGAUUCGUUUCCUGAAGAUGCCGAGGAUAAGUUAUAUUUUGUGUGUAAAGUUAUACGAUUCCUUUCGGAUAAUCCUCUUUAAUAAUGUCUGGGAUUCUCCCACUUGGGGCUCAUGAUCACAACAUCCUCAGCUACGCUUCUCUUACAUGUCUGAUUGUAAGAUGCUGCAAUCUUGUUGGUGUUGGAGGCAAGACUAUGGAUCCUGCUGUCUUUGUUGGUUGGGCGGCAGCAGCGAUGAUGAUGAUGGAUCCUACGACGAUUCCUAUUACCUGACAUACGACCAUAUUGAAGAUUAUACCGCCAAGAACCAAGACUACAAACAAAAUGGAGAUUCCGAGAGCUGGCUUGCCGAUUUUGGUUACAACAAUGAGGCCGACUAUGAAAGCUACGUUGUAAAGGAAGAGAGCCCUAUCAACGAAGGCGCCUCUUACAACGACGACUAUGGUGCUUUAGAAGAUGGUGUUGAUGAUUCGGAGCUCUGGGAUAAUUGGAACUGGACAACCUUGUAUGACACUAUCUUUGCUUACUAGCUACCCACCUCUCUCAUUUUACUAUAAAUCUUCUACUCUGUUUGCUUCUAUGAAAUUCCUUUUUGACUAUAUUAUGUCAAGGACUCUGAAUUUAUCCAAAUGAAUUGUUAGGUGUUAUGUUAUAUUCAUCAGAUGUGCAUCGAUCAUCUUCACCAAAUACAUAUUAUAAUUUCUUCAAUUCUCUUUUCAAUGGACUGAUUUCCUUCCGCAGAUCUCGUAUCAAUUCUGUUCUACAGUCAUCAGAUUAUAAGGAAAAAUAACCACCAAUGAAUUUUAGAACAUGUGAAAAACCAAUAAAUUUUGCGCCAAUAGUCUCUAUUUUCACGCCGCUAUCCAUUUUCUCCUAGAAAUGCGUUAGGAAAAAAAAAACAAAGAAAAAAAACAUCUCCAGGCAAAUAUGGGAAGACCGAUGACGAGGGCAAGGGUGUGCAUUUUCCUGAUAAUCGCCGCCGCCUUGGCGGCAUCAGCGGCGGCGACGGUCGUGCACAGCACCCCAAAAAAGCAACUGAGGAAGCGGCGGCCCGCCCACAACAAAGUGGGCGGACUGAUCCCGGCGGUUUCGUGCCGACCCUGAACCUGGAGCAGCAGGACUACCUAAUGCCCACAACGAUUCCGGCGGUCGGCGGGGAUGCCGGCGCUGACGUGGGACGCGAAGCUGGCAGCGGUGGCGCAGGCGUGGGCGGAGAGGCGGCGCGGGGGACUGGCAACUACCGGAGGCACUCGAGCAGCCCCUACGGCGAGAACAUCUUCUUCAUGAAGUACCGGGAAUUCUCGCCGCGGGACGUGGUGCAGUGGUGGUUCAGCGAGAGCAAGAUGUACGACAGCAGGCAGCUGCGGUGCCGGUGCGCGCCGGAGAGGGAGGGGUGCGAGUGCGGGCACUUCCUGAACGUGGUGUGGCGGAACACGAAGAAGGUGGGAUGCAGCGGCAUCGUUUACUGCAAUGAUCAGGGCGGCGUCUACAUCGUGUGCGAGUAUGAUCCGCCCGCGCUCAUGUCGGGAGCCAAUCCCUUCACCGGCCUCCGUUCUUGAUUAAGGCUUUCACCUAUUUUUGUAUGCAUUAAUCGUCAUCGAUUCUUUGUUUAUUUCUGGAGUAAUGUUUUUUUCAAUGUGCCAAUUUUCGAGUAACAUGGAAUGUGUUUAUUUGUUGAAAUUGCUUUUCGUAUUUCAUUAUAUCAACAUUAUAAAGCCCUACAGAGUAAAGAGCAAGCGCCGUCUCAACAUUAAAGAUGGGUGUAUGCUAAAGGAUCGACCACUUCUUCCUCUCAUCACCCCACAUUUAUUGCCGUAUAGUAUAUUUUUUUAUAACAUGACCUUAUAAUUUGACCAGAAAAUACAUCAAUUUUUAAUUUAAUCGCAAUUAUAACAUAACUUUAUAGUCUGACCUGAAAAUACAUUAAGUUUCAAUUUAUUCUAAAUUAUAACAUGGCCUUAUUUAGAUUAUUUUUCAUCAUAGAUGUAUUAAUAUUAAAUUGUUAUGUAUGAAAUAUUGUUAAUUGAUUGAUUAAUUUUUAUAAAAAUUAAGUUAGAUGAUUCAUUAUGUUAUAAUAAUUAUUUCAUAAUAUAUAUAUAUAUAUAUAUAUAUAUAUACAAAAUAUUAUAUUGAUGGUUUAAAAAUACAUACAUAUAUAUAUAUAUCUACAUUUUCAACGCACAAAUGCAUAUAUAUAUAAAUUUGAUUUUAAUAUUCUAUUAAUAUNUUUUUUUAAAUUUACUAAAAUUUAAUUAAAGGUUACUAAUUAAUUUAAUUAAAAUUACUAAAAAAAUUUAGUAACUAAACUUAAUUAUUAGUUAUUUUUACUUGUAACUAAAUUAAACCCUUUUUUUUUAAAAUUAAGUACAAGUCGGAAGGAAAUAGGAAAAAGGAAAAUAAAACAAAAUAGAAAGUAAAGUAUUUUAGGCUUAAGUGACAAAAGGCGACUACUACAAAAGGUGAUCAAUAUUCCAUAUUGGCUACUUUAAAUAUUAGCAUAAUAAAUUGUAUGGCGUGAAUGCGUUAUUUAAAGUUAUAUUACGAGUUAUUUGAUUGGUAUGACUUUUAAAUACUUAAUUGAUAGCUAGGAGUCAUUGUCGUUAGAGAUGUAUACUAAUGUGCAAGUUUAAUUGAAUAGUAUUGAUGAGGAUGAAAAUUGAGCUUAAAUACAUUUAGAUCUGAUUUCAGUAAAACUACAAAACAUAAAAGAUAAAGUUGUAGAUCUAAGGUUAAAGGAGAAUCAUAAUAGAAAUGGAAAACGAAAAUUUUCUAUUAUGACUGUAGAGAUGUAGAUUUGAAAUGCGUGACAAUCAACAAUUUGCACUUCUCAAAUAUUAUUAUUCAGGCUUUCAAAGCCAAGCUAAAUGGGCCAUGGUCCUGUAUCUCAAACAAUUGGCUAUAAAUAGCUCCCCUAAACUCAAAUGUAGACAAGUCAUUCUACAAAGGAAAAUAAAACUAACAAAUGCUCUUUUCUUCAAGUUUUCUCCACACUCAAAUUCUUAGUUCUUAGCUUUUAACUUGAUUUUCUCCUCCUUUUCACAAAUUUGAUGUUGAGCCCAAAACCCAAUUCAGCAAUUUGUUUUUAUUUCUUGUCAAUUGUGAUAAUUUAUUCAAUAUAUUUACACUCAUAGUCAUUCAUAUAUUCAUUCACAAAUCAAAUACUCCGUCCAUCCACCAAAGAUAUGCCACAAUUUUCUUUUUCGUUCGUCCACAAAAAAUAUGCCACAUCCAUUUUUAGUAGUAGGGUCCACACAACUCUACUCGCAUUUAAAGUGGGAUCCUUACUCCACUACCAACUAGGGGUGGGACGGUACAGUAUACCUUAUUAAAUUGACCAUACCUUAUACCUUACCUUUACCUCCGGUAUGGAGACAAUUCAUACAUUUACCUUAUCUUUACCUACGGUAUACCUUAAUUCGGUAUACCUUAAGUACGGUAUGGAGAAUAUACAAAACUUUUACCGUACCUUUAUUUCGGUAUACCUUACCGAAUUUCGGUAUACCGUACUUUCACGGUAUACCGCACUUUAACGGUAUACCAAAAUAAUCGGUAUUACCGAAAUCGAAAAAAUUCGGUAAAAAAUUGAUAACUUAUUUAUUUAAAACAUGUUUAGAUAAUGANGUUAUUUUUCUGAACAUCCACUAAUCAACGCGCAUGUUGCGAUGCCAAAUUAGUUCUUGGUAAAUUUUAAUUUCACAUAGGUCUAAGUUUACGCCGAUUGCCGCGGUCGAUUUGAGGGAAAAAAGUUGAUUUGUUUCCUGAAGAUGCCGAGGAUAAGUUAUAUUUUGUGUGUAAAGUUAUACGAUUCCUUUCGGAUAAUAAUCCUCUUUAAUAAUGUCUGGGAUUCUCCCACUUGGGGCUCAUGAUCACAACAUCCUCAGCUACGCUUCUCUUACAUGUCUGAUUGUAAGAUGCUGCAAUCUUGUUGGUGUUGGAGGCAAGACUAUGGAUCCUGCUGUCUUUGUUGGUUGGGCAGCAACGAUGAUGAUGAUGGAUCCUACCACGAUUCCUACUACCUGACAUACGACCAUAUUGAAGAUUAUACCGCCAAGAACCAAGACUACAAACAAAAUGGAGAUUCCGAGAGCUGGCUUGCCGAUUUUGGUUACAACAAUGAGGCCGACUAUGAAAGCUACGUUGUAAAGGAAGAGAGCCCUAUCAACGAAGGCGCCUCUUACAACGACGACUAUGGUGCUUUAGAAGAUGGUGUUGAUGAUUCGGAGCUCUGGGAUAAUUGGAACUGGACAACCUUGUAUGACACUAUCUUUGCUUACUAGCUACCCACCUCUCUCAUUUUACUAUAAAUAUUCUACUCUGUUUGCUUCUAUGAAAUUCCUUUUUGACUAUAUUAUGUCAAGGACUCUGAAUUUAUCCAAAUGAAUUGUUAGGUGUUAUAUCAUAUUCAUCAGAUGUGCAUCGAUUAUCUUCACCAAAUACAUAUUAUAAUUUCUUCAAUUCUCUUUUCAAUGGACUGAUUUCCUUCCGCAGAUCUCGUAUCAAUUCUGUUCUACAGUCAUCAGAUUAUAAGGAAAAAUAACCACCAAUGAAUUUUAGAACAUGUGAAAAACCAAUAAAUUUUGCGCCAAUAGUCUCUAUUUUCACGCCGCUAUCCAUUUUCUCCUAGAAAUGCGUUAGGAAAAAAAAAACAAAAAGAAAAAAAAACAUCUCCAGG
rnacentral:lncRNA from 1 species